AACGAACGCUGGCGGCAGGCCUAACACAUGCAAGUCGAGCGAGGACUUCGGUCCUAGCGGCGGACGGGUGAGUAACGCGUGGGAACGUGCCCUUUGCUUCGGAAUAGCUCUGGGAAACUGGGAGUAAUACCGGAUGAGCCCUUUGGGGGAAAGAUUUAUCGGCGAAGGAUCGGCCCGCGUUGGAUUAGGUAGUUGGUAGGGUAAUGGCCUACCAAGCCGACGAUCCAUAGCUGGUUUGAGAGGAUGAUCAGCCACACUGAGACUGAGACACGGCCCAGACUCCUACGGGAGGCAGCAGUGGGGAAUCUUAGACAAUGGGGGAAACCCUGAUCUAGCCAUGCCGCGUGAGCGAUGAAGGCCUUAGGGUUGUAAAGCUCUUUCAGCUGGGAAGAUAAUGACGGUACCAGCAGAAGAAGCCCCGGCUAACUCCGUG
rnacentral:rRNA from 1 species